AGGGAUGUGGCUCAGCGGUAGAGCACUCACCUAGCAUGUGCAAGGCUCUGAGUUCAAUCCUCAGCACCACAU
rnacentral:tRNA from 1 species